GGCCUUAAUGACCAUUGGAGCUUAAUACCCUUUUUAUAAUUCGCCUUAUGAUAACACAAUUUUUUAAUCUUUUUACAGAUUUUGAAAAUCAAAUUUUCGCUUCUAAAGGGCUUUGAAAAUGGGAAAUCCUGCACUUUGUUUUAUAUGAUUGUCACAACAUGAACUUUUGAUAUAUUACAUAUAUCCACAUAUGGGAUCGUUUAAUGCUUACUAAUUAAUUUAUCAGGUGGGGGGUGUGGUUACACUCACCUCUGUGUGGUCUAUAUAAAUCGUUUUGUAAUUCACUUGUAUUCACACUUGAAAAAGGACAUAUGCUGUCCGAAACAUGUUGUGUGGAAAAUAAAAGAGCAUAUCAGCAGUAA